rnacentral:tRNA from 1 species
AGGGUUGUAGUUAAAUAUAACAUUAAAUUUGCAAUUUAAAAGUAUUAACUAAGUUAAUCUUC